rnacentral:rRNA from 1 species
UUAAGCGACUAAGCGUACACGGUGGAUGCCCUGGCAGUCAGAGGCGAUGAAGGGCGUGCUAAUCUGCGAUAAGCGCCGGUAAGGUGAUAUGAACCGUUAUAACCGGCGAUACCCGAAUGGGGAAACCCAGUGUGACUCGUCACACUAUCAUUAACUGAAUCCAUAGGUUAAUGAGGCGAACCGGGGGAACUGAAACAUCUAAGUACCCCGAGGAAAAGAAAUCAACCGAGAUUCCCCCAGUAGCGGCGAGCGAACGGGGAGGAGCCCAGAGCCUGAAUCAGCAUGUGUGUUAGUGGAAGCGUCUGGAAAGGCGCGCGAUACAGGGUGACAGCCCCGUACACAAAAGCGCAUAUGCUGUGAGCUCGAUGAGUAGGGCGGGACACGUGGUAUCCUGUCUGAAUAUGGGGGGACCAUCCUCCAAGGCUAAAUACUCCUGACUGACCGAUAGUGAACCAGUACCGUGAGGGAAAGGCGAAAAGAACCCCGGCGAGGGGAGUGAAAAAGAACCUGAAACCGUGUACGUACAAGCAGUGGGAGCCCCACCACUAAGCCAGUGGUGAACUCCACAUACGCAUCCUUUGCUGAGGAUACGGUUAACGGAGCGAAAGCGACGUUCAACCGCAAAAGAAGCAGAGGGGGCUUAGUGGUGGGGUGACUGCGUACCUUUUGUAUAAUGGGUCAGCGACUUAUAUUCUGUAGCAAGGUUAACCGCAUAGGGGAGCCGGAGGGAAACCGAGUCUUAACCGGGCGUUAAGUUGCAGGGUAUAGACCCGAAACCCGGUGAUCUAGCCAUGGGCAGGUUGAAGGUUGGGUAACACUAACUGGAGGACCGAACCGACUAAUGUUGAAAAAUUAGCGGAUGACCUGUGGCUGGGGGUGAAAGGCCAAUCAAACCGGGAGAUAGCUGGUUCUCCCCGAAAGCUAUUUAGGUAGCGCCUCGUGAAUUCAUCUCCGGGGGUAGAGCACUGUUUCGGCUAGGGGGCCAUCCCGGCUUACCAACCCGAUGCAAACUGCGAAUACCGGAGAAUGUUAUCACGGGAGACACACGGCGGGUGCUAACGUCCGUCGUGAAGAGGGAAACAACCCAGACCGCCAGCUAAGGUCCCAAAGUCAUGGUUAAGUGGGAAACGAUGUGGGAAGGCCCAGACAGCCAGGAUGUUGGCUUAGAAGCAGCCAUCAUUUAAAGAAAGCGUAAUAGCUCACUGGUCGAGUCGGCCUGCGCGGAAGAUGUAACGGGGCUAAACCAUGCACCGAAGCUGCGGCAGCGACACUAUGUGUUGUUGGGUAGGGGAGCGUUCUGUAAGCCUGCGAAGGUGGCCUGUGAGGGUUGCUGGAGGUAUCAGAAGUGCGAAUGCUGACAUAAGUAACGAUAAAGCGGGUGAAAAGCCCGCUCGCCGGAAGACCAAGGGUUCCUGUCCAACGUUAAUCGGGGCAGGGUGAGUCGACCCCUAAGGCGAGGCCGAAAGGCGUAGUCGAUGGGAAACGGGUUAAUAUUCCCGUACUUGGUGUUACUGCGAAGGGGGGACGGAGAAGGCUAUGUUGGCCGGGCGACGGUUGUCCCGGUUUAAGCGUGUAGGUGUGUGUUCCAGGUAAAUCCGGUUCACUUUAACACUGAGGCGUGACGACGAGGCACUACGGUGCUGAAGCAACAAAUGCCCUGCUUCCAGGAAAAGCCUCUAAGCAUCAGGUAACAUCAAAUCGUACCCCAAACCGACACAGGUGGUCAGGUAGAGAAUACCAAGGCGCUUGAGAGAACUCGGGUGAAGGAACUAGGCAAAAUGGUGCCGUAACUUCGGGAGAAGGCACGCUGACACGUAGGUGAAGUGAUUUACUCACGGAGCUGAAGUCAGUCGAAGAUACCAGCUGGCUGCAACUGUUUAUUAAAAACACAGCACUGUGCAAACACGAAAGUGGACGUAUACGGUGUGACGCCUGCCCGGUGCCGGAAGGUUAAUUGAUGGGGUCAGCGCAAGCGAAGCUCCUGAUCGAAGCCCCGGUAAACGGCGGCCGUAACUAUAACGGUCCUAAGGUAGCGAAAUUCCUUGUCGGGUAAGUUCCGACCUGCACGAAUGGCGUAAUGAUGGCCAGGCUGUCUCCACCCGAGACUCAGUGAAAUUGAACUCGCUGUGAAGAUGCAGUGUACCCGCGGCAAGACGGAAAGACCCCGUGAACCUUUACUAUAGCUUGACACUGAACAUUGAGCCUUGAUGUGUAGGAUAGGUGGGAGGCUUUGAAGCGUGGACGCCAGUCUGCGUGGAGCCGACCUUGAAAUACCACCCUUUAAUGUUUGAUGUUCUAACGUGGACCCGUGAUCCGGGUUGCGGACAGUGUCUGGUGGGUAGUUUGACUGGGGCGGUCUCCUCCUAAAGAGUAACGGAGGAGCACGAAGGUUGGCUAAUCCUGGUCGGACAUCAGGAGGUUAGUGCAAUGGCAUAAGCCAGCUUGACUGCGAGCGUGACGGCGCGAGCAGGUGCGAAAGCAGGUCAUAGUGAUCCGGUGGUUCUGAAUGGAAGGGCCAUCGCUCAACGGAUAAAAGGUACUCCGGGGAUAACAGGCUGAUACCGCCCAAGAGUUCAUAUCGACGGCGGUGUUUGGCACCUCGAUGUCGGCUCAUCACAUCCUGGGGCUGAAGUAGGUCCCAAGGGUAUGGCUGUUCGCCAUUUAAAGUGGUACGCGAGCUGGGUUUAGAACGUCGUGAGACAGUUCGGUCCCUAUCUGCCGUGGGCGCUGGAGAACUGAGGGGGGCUGCUCCUAGUACGAGAGGACCGGAGUGGACGCAUCACUGGUGUUCGGGUUGUCAUGCCAAUGGCACUGCCCGGUAGCUAAAUGCGGAAGAGAUAAGUGCUGAAAGCAUCUAAGCACGAAACUUGCCCCGAGAUGAGUUCUCCCUGAGACUUUAGGUCUCCUGAAGGAACGUUGAAGACGACGACGUUGAUAGGCCGGGUGUGUAAGCGCAGCGAUGCGUUGAGCUAACCGGUACUAAUGAACCGUGAGGCUUAACCUU